ACGUGAUCUGAGUUCAGACCGGAGUAAUCCAGGUCAGUUUCUAUCUAUAAAGAGCUUCUUCUAGUACGAAAGGACCGAAAAAGCAUGGCCAAUACUUAAUGCAAGCCAUCUAAUAAUUUAUGAUUAAAACUUAAUAAAUAUUUCAUCUUCAACCCAUCUCAAGAAAAGAGA
rnacentral:rRNA from 1 species